rnacentral:rRNA from 1 species
AACGCGAAGAACCUUACCUACCCUUGACAUCCUGCGAAUCUGCCUGAGAGGGUGGAGUGCCGAAAGGAACGCAGAGACAGGUGCUGCAUGGCUGUCGUCAGCUCGUGUUGUGAGAUGUUGGGUUAAGUCCCGUAACGAGCGCAACCCUUGUCCUUAGUUGCCAGCAAGUAAAGUUGGGGACUCUAAGGAGACUGCCGGUGAGGAACCGGAGGAAGGCGGGGACGACGUCAAGUCAUCAUGGCCUUUAUGGGUAGGGCUACACACGUGCUACAAUGGGGCGUACAGAGGGUAGCCAACCCGCGAGGGGGAGCCAAUCUCAAAAAGCGUCUCGUAGUCCGGAUCGGAGUCUGCAACUCGACUCCGUGAAGUCGGAAUCGCUAGUAAUCGCGAAUCAGCCAUGUCGCGGUGAAUACGUUCCCGGGCCUUGUACACACCGACGCGUA